rnacentral:rRNA from 1 species
UACGUAGGGGGCAAGCGUUGUUCGGAAUGACUGGGCGUAAAGGGUGCGUAGGCGGUUCGUCGCGUCCGGUGUGAAAGUCCAUCGCUUAACGGUGGAUCCGCGCCGGGUACGGGCGGGCUUGAGUGCGGUAGGGGAGACUGGAAUUCCCGGUGUAACGGUGGAAUGUGUAGAUAUCGGGAAGAACACCAAUGGCGAAGGCAGGUCUCUGGGCCGUUACUGACGCUGAGGAGCGAAAGCGUGGGGAGCGAACAGG